UCCCUCCCUCCAUCCCUCCAUCUCUCUCUCUCUCUCUCUCUCUCUCUCUCUGCUGAUGCUUCUUAUCUCGCCCGCCACCUCCCAUGUUCCUGUUCUCUCUUUCAUCCCUUUCGUCGCCACGGCAGCCACCACAGCAUCCUCGAUAUUCUUCUUCUUGCUCAGGAUCUCUUUUCCCCUCGAUGGAGGCCAAGAAAAGAGAGAUCAUUCUGUGCUAGGAAUCACCAUUGAUGUGUCUUUUAUCACAUGGAUUUUAUUCUCGGCCAUAUCUUUUUGCCAUGUCUUUUCUUCCACUGAUCUGUUGUUGUCCUUUUUUCCUUUUACUUUACCCCAUUUUUCCCUGCUAAAAGUUUUGGGAUGGAGUUUUCACUAGCUAGGGCUUAUUUACAACAUCGAAGACAUUGACAUUAGGAAUCUUUGAAGCUAUUCCCUUUUAAUUUCCUGUUCUUGACAAUGCUCCGGACCAUAGUUCUUCCUGUUCUUCUUUUGUUCUUAUUCCAUUUGUUUUUAUCUCUCAUUUUUUUGGCAAACUUUUAUUUCCAUCUUCAGAGGGCCAAAUAUUUCACUGUAGAAGGUUUGUCAAAGGAUCCGCAAGCAGCUGCUCACAGUCAUUUGUUUGCAGGUGCAGCAUCAUCAAGAUUCACACACGAUUUCACGGCAUAGGCAUGAAUUUUGCCGACUGAGGUUUAGUAUUGAGAAUCUUGAUGAUGCUGCAUCAGCAAUCGAUGACUAGUAUCCCAUUAUCCACGGCCCUAGGUUAACUUAUUGAGUAUUUGAAGAAUUGUAUACAUGUCUAAUUUCAGGGCCUUUUCUUAUCCUCUGGAUAUAAAAUGCCUUAUUAGACUGUAACGACGUGUUCAUAUAUAUUUCUUUCCUCCUGUCAUUUCUAAGUGAUUAAUUGAAUUAGUGGGAUGUCUUGUACAUUCACCAAUUAAUUGCAGCAACGCCAAAGCAGCUAGCUUGCGUAAACACAGAAGGAGGAAGUGCUCAGCCAACGAGUGAUCCUGAAGUUUCCUUGGCAUAAAGGGUAAGAUACUUACUAUCCUUUGUAAUCUGUGAGCAGUAACCUAGAUUAAUUAACCCAUGUUGCGCAUAAUCUGUCAAGCAAAUUCAGUGCCUUAGCGAAACUUUUGAUUUUUAUAUUGAAUGCAUAUAUAUAAGAUGAGAAAAAUGUGGUUUUGAGCAGCUCGAUUACUGCUUUUAGGACUUGCAACUGCAAGUGGUUGAAGCAUAGACCAAAUAGAGUUUUGAAUUGCAAAAUAACAUGAUUGUCAUCUUGAUUAAAUUUGAUUGGCUUGUUCCGCCACAUACUAUAAGGUGGAGCCAUUCCAUAUGAUGCUUCAUUUCUUCCUAUCGACGGCAAUGUUUGUUGAGCACAUUAAAAAAUUUGUCAAAACAAGAUUGUUUUGGCUAGUAGAUAGGAUUUGAAAGAUCUCACACUAGCAGCUCAACUUAUAGGAAUUUGGAUAACAUUUUGUAUUUUGAAAUUGAAUUAUCUUCAUUAAAGGAUGAGUUAAUCUUUUUUAUGCAGAAGACUUAUUUCUUUUGCCUCCAGCAAUGCAGCUGCCAACUUCUAUAUCUUUAGAUCGAUCUUAAGUGUGGUAACAGGAUAUUAUAUAGACAAUAUUUAGCAACUGUCUUCUACAAAAAUAAAUGAGAUAUCGUUCGCCUACAUAGAAGAUAAGCCAAAAGGAAGAGGGAACUUGGCACCGAAUUGCGAUGUUUCUCAUUUUUCAGAGCCAGUUAACAUUAAUUUAUCAAGAUUAGGAGGUUUUUGUUCAUGAUUAUUACAAUCUAAUUUCUUGAUUUAAUUUCUAGGGGGAAAAUACAUAUCUUAUUCGGACUAGCCCCUCAAAAGUUUAUGCAUUCUAAUUCUAGAGUUGUGUUUAUUAUUUGUAUGUCGUACAAGAUUUUCAUUGCAUAUGCUGGAUUUCUUGAAAAAGUAUAUCUAAUUUGAGCUCGCUUAACCAAUGUUGCAUUGAGAGUACCCUUAACUAAGAGCUAAUUAGUAUCACAUGCCACUCUUUUAUAUUAGAAAGGUGAAGCUUAGAAGAAUUAAUUGAAAUCCUCUUUUAAUGAGAACGGGGUUAGAAGAACGACGGAUUUCAAGAAACAAAAUUAAGAUGCAACUAUUGCGUCAAUGGCAUAUUUUGGGAGGCACUAGCUCUCGUGCAGGGGGAAAGGAGGAGGAGAAGAAGAAAAGUCCUCUUUUUGUGGCAAUUGACAGGUGAAAUUUCCCCCCUUUGCUUGAGGUCCACACUUCACAUGGUGGGAGGAAGAAAAAGGCAAUGAUGGAGUACAACUGAGAGAUCACACCAGAGAAUUAGUGCGAAAAAAGUUAUUUACGGAUGGAAUAUGGCAUAAGAUGUGAAAAAAGCGGUCUUCUCCUGCUGUAUCUCCAUGGCUCCUCACCGGAAGCCGCUCAUCUCCAAGAGUAUAUUUGCGAUCGAUUGGCCCCCGUCCUAGUUGUGCUGUAUCACUCUCUUUUCCCUCCACUGUUACCUUUCUGGAAACCCUACAAAAGAAGAGCAAGCAUGGCAGAAUCCUCUUACCAUGUCCAUGCAUUCGGACAAGUAGGCCUUAGACGAGGAGGGUUUUACAUUAGGAGGAAGGACAGAUUGAUCGAACCAUCAUCAAGAAGCAUUUGGUCCCGAUGACUUGAUUGUCUGUAAUGGAUGCUUUAGGAUGCACGGUAUAAACAGCAGUUUUCAUUUCAAUCUCCAUUCAGUCGACCAUAAGUAUCAAUUAUCUUGUUAAUUAA